UAUAAUUGAAGUUCUGAGUAAAAUAGAUUCAGAAGGAGGAGUUUCAGCAAAUCAUACUAGUCGUGCAACGUCUACAGCAACAUCAGGAUUUGCUGGAGCUAUUGGCCAGAAACUCCCUCCAUUUUCUUAUGCUUAUACGGAACUGGAAGCUAUUAUGUAUGCCCUUGGAGUGGGAGCAUCAAUCAAGGAUCCAAAAGAUUUGAAAUUUAUUUAUGAAGGAAGUUCUGAUUUCUCCUGUUUGCCCACCUUCGGAGUUAUCAUAGGUCAGAAAUCUAUGAUGGGUGGAGGAUUAGCAGAAAUUCCUGGACUUUCAAUCAACUUUGCAAAGGUAUGCCUAAUAAGAAACCUUUAUUUUGCUUUUCUAUUUCUGUAAAUAUUAUUCAUUAAUGUCAUAUCUUAUAUAUAUGUGUGUG
rnacentral:sRNA from 1 species